ensembl:misc_RNA Metazoa_SRP Metazoan signal recognition particle RNA
GCCAGGCACAGAGUGGUGUGGGCCUGUAGUCCCAGCUACCUGGGAGGCUGAGGUGGGAGGAUUGCUCGAGCCCAGGAGUUCUGGGCUGUAGUGCGCUAUGCCAAUCAGGUGUCCGCACUAAGUUCGACAUCAAUAUGGUGACCUCCUGGAAGGGGACCACUGGGUUGCCUAAAGAGGGGUGAAUUGGCUCAGGUCAGAAAUGGAGAAGGUCCAAACUCCCGUGCUGAACAACAGUGGGAUCGCUCCUAUGAAUAGCCACCGCAUUCCAGCCUGGCAAUAUAGCGAGACCCCAUCCCUA